CCGUGGCCCUGAUGACGAUGUGUCGGCUCUAGCUCAUGCUCACGUCGACUGGCGUGAGACCGAUAACGCUCACGUCUUCCGCGCUGAUCUUCCUGGUUUGUUAAUUUCUUCCCUUUCGCUUUUGCUUCCUGCAACAUGUUUUCCAUGCUUUCUAUAACGGAAAUAAAUGAAAGACAAAGAAGAGAUAGCAAUAGGCUGUACUGUAGGGCUAUGCGCCCAAGUAUCCUCCAGCUGCAACACAGUAAGGUGCCUACUGUCUCAUUUACACGCCUUGUUGACUGGCAGGGGUAAGGAGAGAGGAGCUGAAGGUGCAAGUGGAGGACAACAACAUCCUAAA
rnacentral:lncRNA from 1 species